GGGCAGUUCGUCGACUCUGCUCUUAGAUGAUCCAAUGAUCAAAGAGCUUCUUCGGAUCGGGUCCCAAUUUGUUGGGUACCGUGAAUAUGCCGCCAGAGCCGAAG